AAAUUUGGAAAACUUGCAGGUCUAGAUUCAGAUCAAGAUCUGACUCAGUCAAAUCUUUUCUGGGAAGUUGCAGGUGAUAGAAUAGGCAUCGGAAGGGUCGUUUGGAUGUUGUUGAUGGAUUGAUGGUGGCGGUGCUUGGGUUUGAUGGCCGGAUGGUGGUGUAUGGUUAGGGGUGGAAGUGCAUUGCUGGGUUGUGCUAUUUCUCAAAG
rnacentral:misc_RNA from 1 species